GCCCACAAAACUCAAAGCGUUCAAAUUAAUCGGGUUUUCGAGGAGCAUCGACGUGCACCUUUUGAAACGAUAUAAAUCCGUAGACGUGUAUAUUGCAACUAUACAUACAAGCAAGCGAAACAUCACACUUUUCAGCGUCAUUAAGCAAACACAAAGGGUGGUGAAAGGCACUAGUUCCUUCGUUCCUGCUCUCUCUUCUUCCCAAAUGGCCCAAAGAGCAACGGACCCAUGUCCUCCGCCAGGUAGUUUCCGACCACGUCCUUGUUAACCUUGAUCGAAGGAUUGAUUUAUCAGAGUAACAGAAGUCGAGGCAUAUUGGAAAGCUCAAGCUUCUUACCUCCUUUUUUCUGUUUUUCGUUUUAAGGGUACCCGACGGACAACCUUCCCCACACCAGGAAAAGGAAGUUCUUAUGCUGCGGCGGCGGCACGAAGAAGAAAGGAGAAAGGGGCUUCAUAGAAGGAUGCCUGUUUGCUCUAUGCUGCUGCUGGAUCUGUGAGGAAUGUUGCGACUAGUGAGUCUGAGUCAUAGAUUUGCAGGAGAAUUCACCAAUCUUCUACUUGGGAGUUUGUGUGUGUGUGUGUAUCACAGAGUGUAAUAGUUCGCUAUGGUCGGUAUAAUGUAACUCUUCCGCGGACAUAGUUCUUCACUACGAUAUUUUACUUUGG